GAUGAACGCUGGCGGCGUGCCUAAUACAUGCAAGUCGAACGAAACUUCUUUAUCACCGAGUGCUUGCACUCACCGAUACAGAGUUGAGUGGCGAACGGGUGAGUAACGCGUGGGCAACCUGCCCAAAAGAGGGGGAUAACACUUGGAAACAGGUGCUAAUACCGCAUAACCAUAGUUACCGCAUGGUAACUAUGUAAAAGGUGGCUAUACUACCGCUUUUGGAUGGGCCCGCGGCGCAUUAGCUAGUUGGUAGGGUAAAGGCUUACCAAGGCAAUGAUGCGUAGCCGAAUUGAGAGGUUGAUCGGCCACAUUGGGACUGAGACACGGCCCAAACUCCUACGGGAGGCAGCAGUAGGGAAUCUUCCACAAUGGGCGAAAGCCUGAUGGAGCAACGCCGCGUGGGUGAAGAAGGUCUUCGGAUCGUAAAACCCUGUUGUUAGAGAAGAAAGUGCGUGAGAGUAACUGUUCACGUUUCGACGGUAUCUAACCAGAAAGCCACGGCUAACUACGUG
rnacentral:rRNA from 1 species